rnacentral:rRNA from 1 species
UACGUAGGGGGCUAGCGUUGUCCGGAAUCAUUGGGCGUAAAGCGCGCGUAGGCGGCCCGGUAAGUCCGCUGUAAAAGUCCAGGGCUCAACCCUGGAAAGCCGGUGGAUACUGUCGGGCUCGAGUCCGGAAGAGGCGAGUGGAAUUCUUGGUGUAGCGGUGAAAUGCGUAGAUAUCAAGAGGAACACCUGCGGCGAAGGCGGGUUGCUGGGCCGACACUGACGCUGAUGCGCGAAAGCCAGGGGAGCGAACGGG